rnacentral:rRNA from 1 species
CCUACGGGGGGCAGCAGUAGGGAAUCUUCCACAAUGGGCGCAAGCCUGAUGGAGCAACACCGCGUGAGUGAAGAAGGGUUUCGGCUCGUAAAGCUCUGUUGUUGGAGAAGAACGUGCGUGAGAGUAACUGUUCACGCAGUGACGGUAUCCAACCAGAAAGUCACGGCUAACUACGUGCCAGCAGCCGCGGUAAUACGGAGGUGGCAAGCGUUAUCCGGAUUUAUUGGGCGUAAAGCGAGCGCAGGCGGUUGCUUAGGUCUGAUGUGAAAGCCUUCGGCUUAACCGAAGAAGUGCAUCGGAAACCGGGCAACUUGAGUGCAGAAGAGGACAGUGGAACUCCAUGUGUAGCGGUGGAAUGCGUAGAUAUAUGGAAGAACACCAGUGGCGAAGGCGGCUGUCUGGUCUGCAACUGACGCUGAGGCUCGAAAGCAUGGGUAGCGAACAGGAUUAGAUACCCGGGUAGUC